CAGUAGCCGCGGGAAUACGCAGGGUGCAAGCGUUAAUCGGAAUUACUGGGCGUAAAGCGUGCGCAGGCGGUUAUAUAAGUCAGAUGUGAAAUCCCCGGGCUCAACCUGGGAACUGCAUUUGAGACUGUAUGGCUAGAGUGUGUCAGAGGGGGGUAGAAUUCCACGUGUAGCAGUGAAAUGCGUAGAUAUGUGGAGGAAUACCGAUGGCGAAGGCAGCCCCCUGGGAUAACACUGACGCUCAUGCACGAAAGCGUGGGGAGCAAACAGGAUUAGAUACCCGUGUAGUCCCUGUCUCUUAUAC
rnacentral:rRNA from 1 species